rnacentral:rRNA from 1 species
ACGAACCGAGCGAACGUUGUUCGGAAUCACUGGGCUUAAAGGGCGCGUAGGCGGGCUGUCAAGUCUGGGGUGAAAUCCCGCGGCUCAACCGUGGAACUGCCUCAGAUAUUGACGGUCUCGAGGGAGGUAGGGGCGAGCGGAACUGAUGGUGGAGCGGUGAAAUGCGUUGAUAUCAUCAGGAACUCCGGUGGCGAAGGCGGCUCGCUGGACCUCUUCUGACGCUGAGGCGCGAAAGCCAGGGGAGCAAGCGGGA